UACAGAGGUCCCAAGCGUUGUUCGGAUUUACUGGGCGUAAAGGGUGCGUAGGUGGUGAGGUAAGUCUAAUGUGAAAUCUCCGAGCUUAACUCGGAAACUGCAUCGGAUACUAUCUCGCUCGAGGGUUGGAGGGGAGACUGGAAUACUUGGUGUAGCAGUGAAAUGCGUAGAUAUCAAGUGGAACACCAGUGGCGAAGGCGAGUCUCUGGACAACUCCUGACACUGAGGCACGAAAGCUAGGGGAGCAAACAGG
rnacentral:rRNA from 1 species